GCUCCGGUGGUCUAAUGGUUAAAGCGUCCGCCUCUGAUGCGGGAGGUCGUUGGUCGAACUACAGCCGAUUCAUACCAGAGACU